GAAAACAGAGCCACGAGGAGGUGCAGAAGUCUAGUUUUCUCUCAGAACACUUGAAUUAUUAUAUGCUGAAAGGUUAUUAUGGAAUUUUUGCCCAAUGAAGCCCAAAACAUUCUGCCCACUGCCUCUUUAA